rnacentral:lncRNA from 1 species
GGGAUUAUAGGCAUGAGCCACUGCGCCAGGCCUAUUGGCCUCUUUUAUUUGCAUUGCUGCCUCUUUCUGUCACUGACCACCCCACCAUCUCCCCCUCCCACUGGUCCUAUCCUGCUUCCCCUCUCCCUAUGGCAUCCUCUUAGCUGGUGUGGGGGGGCAGGACUCCCCAGCCCAGGUUCCCUGGCUCCCAUCCAACGCCUGGCCUGGCCGGGGUGACCUUUGCAGUGACAGGCUCCCUGUCAGAGCUCCAGAUUAGCUAUGUCUGCCGGGAAGUGCUCCAGGGACUGGCCUAUUUGCACUCACAGAAGAAGAUACACAGGGACAUCAAGGGAGCUAACAUCCUCAUCAAUGAUGCUGGGGAGGUCAGAUUGGCUGACUUUGGCAUCUCGGCCCAGAUUGGGGCUACGCUGGC